AGUGAACGCUGGCGGUAGGCCUAACACAUGCCAGUCGAACGGCAGCACAGUAAGAGCUUGCUCUUACGGGUGGCGAGUGGCGGACGGGUGAGGAAUACAUCGUAAUCUACUUUUUCGUGUGGGAUAACGUAGGGAAACUUACUCUAAUACCGCAUACGACCUACGGGUGAGAGCAUGGGAUCUUCUGACCUGUCGCGAUUGAAUGAGCCGAUUUGGGAGUAGCUAGUUGGCGGGUUAAAGGCCUACGAAUGGGCGGGUCGGUAGCUGGUCUGAGAGGAUGAUCCGCGACAGUGGAACUGAGACGCGGUACAGGCUCCUACGGGAGGCAGCAGUGGGGAAUGUAGGCAAAAGGGCGGAAGCCUGAUCCAGCGAUACAGCGUGGGUGAAGAAGGCCUUCGGGUUGUAAAGCCCUUUUGUUGGGAAAGAAAAGCUGCAGGUUAAUACAACGCUGUUCUGACGGAACCGAAAGAAUAAGCACCGGCUAACUUCGU
rnacentral:rRNA from 1 species